ensembl:snoRNA SNORA73 Small nucleolar RNA SNORA73 family
CUGACGUGGACAUCCUGUGAGGUUACUCUCAUAUGGCUCUGUACUUGUGGCGUAUGGGAGCGUAGCACUUCAGUGCUGUGACGUGUAAUCCCGUUCCACGACGUCAAAUAUCGAGCUUUGUCCCUGGCCCUUGGGCUGGCGAGGACGCAUACUGUAUAUUCCUACAUCUUCCCAGAGUCCUUUGGGCUGUGACUGGGGGGCUAAACCAUGCAGUGUACAAAG